rnacentral:rRNA from 1 species
AGUCCUCAUGGCCCUUACGGGUUGGGCUACACACGUGCUACAAUGGCAGUGACAAUGGGUUAAUCCCCAAAAGCUGUCUCAGUUCGGAUUGGGGUCUGCAACUCGACCCCAUGAAGUCGGAAUCGCUAGUAAUCGUGGAACAGCAUGCCACGGUGAAUACGUUCCCGGGCCUUGUACACACCGCCCGUCACACCAUGGGAGUUGGUUCUACCCGACGGCCGUGCGCCAACCUUUCGAGGAGGCAGCGGACCACGGUAGGAUCAGCGACUGGGGUGAAGUCGUAACAAGGUAGCCGUAGGGGAACCUGCGGCUGGAUCACCUCCUUUCUAA